rnacentral:lncRNA from 7 species
AAUCUUAGAUCUCACAAUCUUGGUUCCAGUAGAAGUGUUCCUGAGCAGCUCUGCAUUUCCUAAAUGCAAAGGGCUGUAAAACCGACUGGAGCCUGAACCUGAGUGACAACCCUGACUUCUCCUGGCACAUCUCAAGAGCAAGACUUUGUCACCAGGCUUACAUGGCCAAGUGCUCAAGAAGGUCACGGUGAACACAGCAAGAGGAAGGUUUCUCAUAUUCAGCUCCAAGGCUUACAUCUGUACACUUGACAAGGCUGCCCAUACUCCUGCUAGCAUGUCCAGUGGACCCAAAUUCCUGCAGCCCUUUCACCCAAGGCCAUGCUUCCCAUCAAACACAGCACAGCAGCCCCACCUGCCAAAUCACCCAACUCUCCCCCCUUUGCCAGACAAGCCAGCAUCUCAAGUACUGAUCUGACAAAGCAGCCUGGAAAAUCCCUGUUUUUGAAGAGCCACUUAAGUGUUCAUUAUUUUGCCAGGGUAGAAAUACCUGUGCAGGAGGAAAGCCUUCCCUAACUUUCAUUUACUAGUGAAAGUGAGCUUACCUCUUUGUUAAUUGCUUCUCUUGCUUUCUGGCAUUCUGCAUGCUCCAAAACACUUUUUAUGCCUCCAUCACGUUUCCUCCUGCUAAGUAUCCCAAGAGUGUCCCCUCCCUG